CAAUAUGUGGUAUGUGGGGCUACAGAUUUUAUCUGAACCUGUCAGACUGAAAUCUGAAGAUUUGUGGUCACAUGCUGCUGACCAGAGCUCAGAAUCCCAUGAUGUUCUGCAUUCUGUGGGAGGAGUUUCUUUUAUCUGUCUGACAUCCUCCUUAUAAAGGAGCUGUAAGGAGCUACUUUGGCUCAUUUGGCUCCCAACAUCACAUCACAUCAACUGCAACAGUCAUUCAGUCACCUGAAGAAGAGUUUAUUCAACAAUGGAGUCCUCACGACGUUUAUACAUCCACAUACCAGAUGAAUAUGAAGAAUUUCUAAUAUCUGGUGAAUGGGACCAUGGGAUUGUUGUUAGAGAUUUGAAUCCAUGUUUGACAGACAGUGAGUUUCACAACUACUUUGAAAAAUUUGGGACAAUUACAGAAUGUGAAGUAAGUACUUUUAUAAUUGAAAACUUUUAACAGGGCAGAUAUAUGUUAUAUGGAAUGUUAUU
rnacentral:lncRNA from 1 species